rnacentral:rRNA from 1 species
UACGUAGGGUGCGAGCGUUGUCCGGAAUUAUUGGGCGUAAAGAGCUUGUAGGCGGUUUGUCGCGUCUGCCGUGAAAAUUCGAGGCUCAACCUCGAACUUGCGGUGGGUACGGGCAGACUAGAGUGUGGUAGGGGAGACUGGAAUUCCUGGUGUAGCGGUGAAAUGCGCAGAUAUCAGGAGGAACACCGAUGGCGAAGGCAGGUCUCUGGGCCACUACUGACGCUGAGAAGCGAAAGCAAGGGGAGCGAACAGG